CCUACGGGGUGCAGCAGUGGGGGAUAUUGCACAAUGGGGGGAACCCUGAUGCAGCGACGCCGCGUGGGUGAAGAAGCGCCUCGGCGCGUAAAGCCCUGUCAGUAGGGAAGUAAAUGACGGUACCUGAAGAAGAAGCCCCGGCUAAAUCCGUGCCAGCAGCCGUGGUAAUAUGCAGGAGGCAAGCGUUAUCCGGAUUUACUGGGUGUAAAGGGGGCGCAGACGGGCAUGCAAGCCAGGGGUGAAAGCGCGGGGCCCAACCCCGGGACUGCUCUUGGUACUGGGUGGCUGGAGUGCAGGAGGGGCAGGCGGAAUGCAUGGUGUAGCGGUGAAAUGCGUAGAUAUCAGGAAGAACACCGGUGGCGAAGGCAGCCUACUGGACUGCAACUGACGUUGAGGCCCGAAAGCGUGGGGAGCAAACAGGAUUAGAUACCCGAGUAGUC
rnacentral:rRNA from 1 species